ensembl:lncRNA
CCUGGCUCAAGCCAUGACUCUUUCAUAUUGGCAAACUCGACCAUUUCUGCCAUAUUCGAGGGGAAUCCUCCCUUGGAUGAGUGGCUGUUAGGGGACAACGGCUAUCCGUUGAAGACAUGGCUCAUGACCCUAUUUCUUAUGCCAGCAACAGUGCGCAAAAUUGUAUUCAACAGGAAACACACAAGAACACGCAGUGUAAUUGAACGUACAUUCGGAAUACUGAAAAUGUGCUUCAGGUGUUUGGAUAGGUCAGGUGGUACUUUACAGUAUGGUCCUAAAAAAGUCACAGCAUUCUUUGUGGCAUUUUGUGUUUUACACAACAUUGCCAUGAAUCAUGGAUGUGUCAAUGGCAUUAAUGAGGAUAGAUUAGAGGACUUAAGGAGACGUGAUGCUGAACUGCAUGUGCCGAUGCCAUUACGUCCCAAUGCAGCAGCACGGGAGAGGAGAGCUCAUCUGUCAGAGGAGCUGCAUCGUAUAUAGUGAGCGGCAAAGGGCCAGCAACUCACCUCCUCAGAAUCAGUGGUCAAAGGGCAAGGUGGACAGGUGACACUGUCCUGUCGGGUGACCGGAUUCGCUCUCACUUUUCUUCACUGGAUUUGCCAGAAGUCUGGACAUGGCCUGGAAUUGAUCGGGUGGAACUAGAACAGCUUUUGCCGCAUCUCUUCAAGAGCAGUUCACCCUCACCAAAGACAGCAGCCAAGAGGAGGCUUACUUAAAUGAGAAGAAUCUGAAGCUGAGGACUCAGCUCUUUUGUAUUGUGCUAAAGAGAUUAUUGUGCUAUAGACACAGUACAGAAUAUAGAUUGAGAUUACAUUACAGGGAAAUAAUGAUCCAAUUUAACCCCAUUAAUCACAUCAAUACUUUUAAGCUUUAAUACCAUGAGGGUUACCAUUCUGCCUUCUAGCAAUCAGUCAUUGAGCAGUCACUUUUAUCCAAAGUGAGAUGCAGUGAAUUCAGAUACAGGUAAUUAAGGACCAGAGAGGAGUCUUGCUCAACGAUGCUUCAAGGUAAUCAGUGGACAUCAAACCCAGACUGAAUAGUAGGAGGUAUAACUCUGGACUAGUGUUUAAUAUUUGUGUUCUGCUUCAUGUGAGUUGAAUAAGUCUAAUUCGUCUUAAAUAUCAGCUAUAUUUAUACUUUUUUUUGCGAGUAUUCUACCUAAUCAUCUGUGUUGACUAGCUAUGAAUAGGAAUGUAAUUACUUAUUUAUUUUAUUUUAUUUCUUUCAUAUCAACGUAAGGUUUACAUUUUUUAUAUAAAUGAUUAUUGAUGCAAUUUAAUGUAUAUUAAGUACAUGACACAUACUGUGUCAUGUACAGUAUGUCAGGUGCGGACCCCAAGAAGAUGGGCUGAUUGCCAUGCAUCAGUGGGGAUCCUUUAAGUAACCAAAUAGCCAAUUAACAUGAGUGUAUGUCCAUGUAUUGGUGC